AUUCCAAUGGGAGAAACAUAUCAACAACUAGGUAAAAAGAAGAUUGUAGCUGAUCAAAGUUUAUUCGAAAGGAAGGCUUACAACCUAAAGUGAGACUUAAGAUAAGUUGAAGAAAACCAGGGAAACUAAAAAGGCAAACUUGAAAGGGCAGAGCAUUUCAGGCAUAGCUAUGGAGAAGGAAGAUGGAGUGUCAUGUACAAGGAACAGCAUGUAGCCAGUGUAAGCUGAUCUGUAAAGUGUUAGAGAGAAGAAAAAUGAGGAGAAGCAUGGUAAUGAGGAGCUGCCAUAAUGCACAGAGCAAUGGAAAAGAUCAGAAAGACAUGAGUGCAAAUCCAGCCUCAGUUAUUACCUGUGUGAACCUGAGCAAAUUCCUUAACCUCUGCCUGCCUCAAUUUCCUCAUCUAUAAAAUGAGGUCACUGUGACACAGAUUUCCUGGAACAGACCUGUGCAGACAAUGAAUCAAGGCAGCUAGGUAGAAAUGUGAAUAAAGGACUGAAUCUGAAGUUGGAAAUACUUGAGUUCAAAUGAGGCCUUAGAAACCUACCAGCAUGU